rnacentral:rRNA from 1 species
UCGGUGCCGCAGCUAACGCACUAAGUACUUUGCCUGGGAAGUACGCUCGCAAGUGUGAAACUCAUAGGACUUGACGGGGCCCCGCCCAAGUAGCGCAGCAUGUGGUUUAAUUUGAAGCAAUGAGAAGCACAUUACCCAAGCUUGACAUCCACAUGACAAAUCAUCAAACGGAGAGUUCCCUUCGCGGUCAUUGUUGACAGGUGGUGCAUGGUU